AGCUGCUUAGCUCAAUUUGGUGAGAGCACUGAGUAAGACUCAGAGGUUGCAGGUUCGAGUCCUGUAGCAGCA
rnacentral:tRNA from 1 species